GACGGGGCCCGGCACAAGCGUGGAGUAUGUGGUUUAAUUCGAUGCAACGCGAAGAACCUUACCUGGUCUUGACAUCCCGGAGACCCUUAGGAAACUAGGGGUGCUUCCAUCUGGAAGAAUCUGGAGACAGGUGCUGCAUGGCUGUCGUCAGCUCGUGUCGUGAGAUGUUGGGUUAAGUCCCGCAACGAGCGCAACCCUUGCCUUUAGUUGCCAGCAGUUCGGCUGGGCACUCUAAAGGGACUGCCGGUGUUAAACCGGAGGAAGGUGGGGAUGACGUCAAGUCCUCAUGGCCUUUAUGACCAGGGCUACACACGUACUACAAUGGCCGAUACAAAGGGCAGCGACACUGCGAGGUGAAGCCAAUCCCGUAAAAUCGGUCUCAGUCCGGAUUGGAGUCUGCAACUCGACUCCAUGAAGUUGGAAUCGCUAGUAAUCGUGGAUCAGCAUGCCACGGUGAAUACGUUCCCGGGCCUU
rnacentral:rRNA from 1 species